rnacentral:rRNA from 1 species
GAUGAACGCUGGCGGCGUGCCUAAUACAUGCAAGUCGAGCGAACAGACGAGGAGCUUGCUCCUCUGACGUUAGCGGCGGACGGGUGAGUAACACGUGGAUAACCUACCUAUAAGACUGGGAUAACUUCGGGAAACCGGAGCUAAUACCGGAUAAUAUAUUGAACCGCAUGGUUCAAUAGUGAAAGACGGUUUUGCUGUCACUUAUAGAUGGAUCCGCGCCGCAUUAGCUAGUUGGUAAGGUAACGGCUUACCAAGGCGACGAUGCGUAGCCGACCUGAGAGGGUGAUCGGCCACACUGUAACUGAGACACGGUCCAGACUCCUACGGGAGGCAGCAGUAGGGAAUCUUCCGCAAUGGGCGAAAGCCUGACGGAGCAACGCCGCGUGAGUGAUGAAGGUCUUCGGAUCGUAAAACUCUGUUAUUAGGGAAGAACAAAUGUGUAAGUAACUAUGCACGUCUUGACGGUACCUAAUCAGAAAGCCACGGCUAACUGCGUG